rnacentral:rRNA from 1 species
GACGAACGCUGGCGGCGUGCUUAACACAUGCAAGUCGAACGAGACGAUUGAAAGCUUGCUUUCGAAAGUCGAGUGGCAAACGGGUGAGUAACGCGUAGACAACCUGCCUUUGAGAUGGGGACAACAGUUCGAAAGGACUGCUAAUACCGAAUGUUGUAUAUUUUCCACAUGGAAGAUAUAUUAAAGAUGGCCUCUAUUUAUAAGCUAUCGCUCAAAGAUGGGUCUGCGUCUGAUUAGCUGGUUGGUGGGGUAACGGCCUACCAAGGCGACGAUCAGUAGCCGGUCUGAGAGGAUGAACGGCCACAUUGGGACUGAGACACGGCCCAGACUCCUACGGGAGGCAGCAGGGGGAAUCUUCCACAAUGGACGAAAGUCUGAUGGAGCAACGCCGCGUGAGUGAAGAAGGGUUUCGGCUCGUAAAGCUCUGUUGUCGGGGACGAAUGUGCAGUAUUUGAAUAAAGUACUGCAAUGACGGUACCUGACGAGGAAGCCACGGCUAACUACGUGCCAGCCGCCGCGGUAA